rnacentral:tRNA from 1 species
GGAGUUGUAGCUCAGUGGCAGAGCGCUUGCCUAGCAUAUGAGAGGCACUAGGUUCAAUGCUUAGCACUACA